rnacentral:rRNA from 1 species
GGGGUGGAGAAUGGUAAGAGAAAGAUGGCAUAGCUGAGUUGGGAGAAGAUGGUGGUACCCAAGUCUAUGAAGGGCAUGGGUUUCCGCGACAUGAGAGCCUUCAACCAGGCUUUGCUGGCUAAGCAAGCAUGGCAAUUAUUGGACUGUCCGGAUAGCCUGUGUGCGAGACUUCUUAGAGCUAAAUACUAUCCCCAUGGUAAUCUGUUGGAUACAGGGUUCCCUGCAAGCUCGUCUGCGGUGUGGAAAGGGAUUGUACAUGCUCUUGAAUUGGUGAAGAAAGGCAUUAUUUGGCGUGUGGGAGAUGGUAUGUUAAUUAGACCUUGGAGAGAUUCUUGGAUCCCGAGGGGUCAUAAUCUUCGUCCAAUAACACCAAAACAUAACUGCAGACUUAAUUGGGUGCCUGAUUUCUUGGAUGAACAUGGUGCAUGGAAUGAGCAAAGGUUGCGAGAACAUUUUUGGGACAUGGAUGUACGUGAGAUUCUCAAGAUCUAUACGUCGCCGAGGAAUGGCCAAGACUUCCUAGCCUGGUUCCCGGAGAGGAGCGGACAAUUUACUGUGCGGAGUGCAUAUAUGCUGGCUACUUUGGGCGCCGCCCCUGGUAUGAUAAACGCGUCCAACAACAAUCCAUCUGGGGAGCGGCCGGUUUGGCAAUGCUUAUGGGGUGCUAAAGUACCCCUUAAGAUGAGGAUCUUGUCCUGGAAGGUGGUCUCAGGUGCACUAGGCACUAAUGCGUGCAAAAAAUGCCGUCAUAUUUCUACAAGGGAUACAUGUCCUUUAUGUAUGAAGGAGAAGGAAACCAGCUUCCACGCCCUAGUCACAUGUGAUCAUGCGCGCGAAGUGUGGCGAUAG